rnacentral:rRNA from 1 species
ACGAACGCUGGCGGCGUGGAUAAGACAUGCAAGUCGAACGAGAGAAUUGCUAGCUUGCUAAUAAUUCUCUAGUGGCGCACGGGUGAGUAACACGUGAGUAACCUGCCCCCGAGAGCGGGAUAGCCCUGGGAAACUGGGAUUAAUACCGCAUAGUAUCGAAAGAUUAAAGCAGCAAUGCGCUUGGGGAUGGGCUCGCGGCCUAUUAGUUAGUUGGUGAGGUAACGGCUCACCAAGGCGAUGACGGGUAGCCGGUCUGAGAGGAUGUCCGGCCACACUGGAACUGAGACACGGUCCAGACACCUACGGGUGGCAGCAGUCGAGAAUCAUUCACAAUGGGGGAAACCCUGAUGGUGCGACGCCGCGUGGGGGAAUGAAGGUCUUCGGAUUGUAAACCCCUGUCAUGUGGGAGCAAAUUAAAAAGAUAGUACCACAAGAGGAAGAGACGGCUAACUCUGUGCCAGCAGCCGCGGUAAUACAGAGGUCUCAAGCGUUGUUCGGAAUCACUGGGCGUAAAGCGUGCGUAGGCUGUUUCGUAAGUCGUGUGUGAAAGGCGCGGGCUCAACCCGCGGACGGCACAUGAUACUGCGAGACUAGAGUAAUGGAGGGGGAACCGGAAUUCUCGGUGUAGCAGUGAAAUGCGUAGAUAUCGAGAGGAACACUCGUGGCGAAGGCGGGUUCCUGGACAUUAACUGACGCUGAGGCACGAAGGCCAGGGGAGCGAAAGGGAUUAGAUACCCCUGUAGUCCUGGCAGUAAACGGUGCACGCUUGGUGUGCGGGGAAUCGACCCCCUGCGUGCCGGAGCUAACGCGUUAAGCGUGCCGCCUGGGGAGUACGGUCGCAAGAUUAAAACUCAAAGAAAUUGACGGGGACCCGCACAAGCGGUGGAGUAUGUGGCUUAAUUCGAUGCUACGCGAAGAACCUUACCUGGGCUUGACAUGUAAUGAACAACAUGUGAAAGCAUGCGACUCUUCGGAGGCGUUACACAGGUGCUGCAUGGCCGUCGUCAGCUCGUGUCGUGAGAUGUUUGGUUAAGUCCAGCAACGAGCGCAACCCCUGUUGCCAGUUACCAGCACGUGAAGGUGGGGACUCUGGCGAGACUGCCCAGAUCAACUGGGAGGAAGGUGGGGACGACGUCAGGUCAGUAUGGCCCUUAUGCCCAGGGCUGCACACGUACUACAAUGCCCAGUACAGAGGGGGCCGAAGCCGCGAGGCGGAGGAAAUCCUAAAAACUGGGCCCAGUUCGGACUGUAGGCUGCAACCCGCCUACACGAAGCCGGAAUCGCUAGUAAUGGCGCAUCAGCUACGGCGCCGUGAAUACGUUCCCGGGUCUUGUACACACCGCCCGUCACAUCAUGGAAGCCGGUCGCACCCGAAGUAUCUGAAGCCAACCGCAAGGAGGCAGGGUCCUAAGGUGAGACUGGUAACUGGGAUG